ACGCGAAAGGCCCCUUCGGGGGCCGAGUAGAGUGGCGUCCGGGUGAGUAACACGUAGGUAAUCUACCUCUGGGUGGGGAAUAACGACCGGAAACGGUCGCUAAUACCGCAUAAUGCAGCGGCACCACAUGGUGACAGUUGUUAAAGCGGGGGAUCGCAAGACCUCGCGCCUAGAGAGGAGCCUGCGGCGGAUUAGCUAGUUGGCAGGGUAACGGCCUACCAAGGCAACGAUCCGUAGCCGGCCUGAGAGGGCGGUCGGCCACACUGGCACUGACACACGGGCCAGACUCCUACGGGAGGCAGCAGUCGGGAAUUUUGGGCAAUGGGCGAAAGCCUGACCCAGCAACGCCGCGUGAAGGAUGAAGCUUUUCGGAGUGUAAACUUCAUAAGAAUGGGACGAAUAAAGAGGGGUUAGUACCCCCUCCUAUGACGGUACCAUUUGUAAGCUCCGGCUAACUCCGUGCCAGCAGCCGCGGUAAUACGGGGGGAGCAAGCGUUG
rnacentral:rRNA from 1 species